rnacentral:lncRNA from 1 species
CAACAACCUCGUCGGAAAGUGGGGCCCAGACCAGCUCUAUGAACCCAAUCCUCUUUGCGUCCCAGGUGCUGUGGUCAAGCUGGGCUGUUCUCUCAGGGCAGCAUGGCUGGAUAUCCAAACAAUGUGAGCUCUCCAGCUGCCUGAAGGGUCCCUGGGCCACAGCCACAUCUUCCUGUAGCUGUGUGCGAGCACUUUGGACAGACAAGGAAACAGGGAUUAUGGCUUACCCACAUCCACAUAGUGAAUUAGGGAUGAAACUGAGACUCUAGGCUUGUAGACCGAUGCUGGCUGCUACAUUAGAAUGGUAGGCGAGCUUUUUAAAAACACUGUUGGUGGACAGGCCAGCUAGGCCUGUGGGGCACAGCAGGGACAUGGGGCCAGUCUGGGGACCUCAUGCCUGCACUCUGAACAAAAAAAAAAAAAUUGGGCCCCCAGUGAGGGAGCUGGGCAAGCUGUCUGCAGGAAGGCUUGAGAGUUGAGAGUGCUGAAGGCCUGGCACUGAUGCUGGGAGGAUAGCUACUGGCUGUGAUGGGGUGGUGGGAGAGGCAUUGAGUCUGUGUGGGGUCUGUGAUGGUGGCAGGGUGCACAGGCGUGAAUCUGCAGGUACGUGUGUGUUGUUGAGAGUAUACACCUUGUGAGGUCUGUCAGGGCAAGAUGUCAGCAGGUGGAGGGGCUGUGAACGCCUUUGUGUUAAGGGUUGAGCACUGUGCAGGUGGAACUGUGAGGGCGUGGAGAUGAGUGUGAGUGUGCAGAUAUGUCAAUGUCUAUAAGGCUGGUCUGUAUAUUCACUCACUCACCAAUGCAACAAACAUCUAUGGAACAGAAUUUACCAGACACACAGUCCCUGCCCUCCUGGGCUCACAUUCACAGGUGACAACAAGCAAACAGGAAAGACAUCAGGUGGUGUUCAGUGCUGCACAGAAAAUAAAAUGAGGUAAUGGGAUAGUGCCUGGCUGGAGUGGGGUGCUAGUGUAGCUAAGUGGUCAGGGAAGGUUUAUCUGAGGAGGUGACAUCUGUUUUAAGACCUGAUGAAAAGUGGCCAACCCUGCAAACAACCAGGGGGGAGUCCUGCAGAGGGCGGCACAGCAGGUAUAGAGAUCAUGUGGUUGGAGUGGGCUUGCCUUGUUCAGUGGAUGGAGAGACUUCCAGCAGCUCUGAAGCACAGUGAACGCAGGGAGAGGACCACAGAUGAGAUCCAAAAGGAAGGCUGGGACCAAGCAGCCGGGGGCCUCAGAGGCCAUGGUAAGGCUUUCGGUUGCAUUUGAGUCACAGUGUGAAGCCAUUUUGAGUUUCUAAACAGGGGAAUAAAAUGAUCUGCUUUAUGGUUGUAAAUAAAUGUAGCUUUGGAUGGACAACAGCCUGGGCUGAGGGCAGGGUGGGGAGGAGUGGAAGCAGAAAGACCCGUCAGAAGGUGACCAUCUCCAGAUGAGAGGUGACACCAUCCUGGACUAAGUUGGAAGCAAUGGAAAUGGUAAGGC